AGUGAACGCUGGCGGUAGGCCUAACACAUGCAAGUCGAACGGCAGCACAGUAAGAGCUUGCUCUUACGGGUGGCGAGUGGCGGACGGGUGAGGAAUACAUCGGAAUCUACUUUUUCGUGGGGGAUAACGUAGGGAAACUUACGCUAAUACCGCAUACGACCUACGGGUGAAAGCAGGGGAUCUUCGGACCUUUCGCGAUUGAAUGAGCCGAUGUCGGAUUAGCUAGUUGGCGGGUUAAAGGCCCACCAAGGCGACGAUCCGUAGCUGGUCUGAGCGGAUGAUCCGCCACACUGGAACUGAGACACGGUCCAGACUCCUACGGGAGGCAGCAGUGGGGAAUAUUAGGCAAUGGGCGCAAGCCUGAUCCAGCCAUACCGCGUGGGUGAAGAAGGCCUUCGGGUUGUAAAGCCCUUUUGUUGGGAAAGAAAAGCAGCAGGUUAAUACCCCGCUGUUCUGACGGUACCCAAAGAAUAAGCACCGGCUAACUUCGUG
rnacentral:rRNA from 1 species